rnacentral:rRNA from 1 species
GACGAACGCUGGCGGCGUGCCUAAUACAUGCAAGUCGAGCGGAAGUUGGAGAGCUUGCUCUUCAACUUUAGCGGCGGACGGGUGAGUAACACGUGGGCAACCUGCCCUGCAGAUCGGGAUAACUCCGGGAAACCGGUGCUAAUACCGAAUAGUUUUCGCCACCUCCUGGUGGCGUACGGAAAGACGGUUUCGGCUGUCACUGCAGGAUGGGCCCGCGGCGCAUUAGCUAGUUGGUGGGGUAACGGCCCACCAAGGCGACGAUGCGUAGCCGACCUGAGAGGGUGAUCGGCCCACCUGGGACUGAGACACGGCCCAGAUUCCUACGGGAGGCAGCAGUAGGGAAUCUUCCGCAAUGGAAGAAAGUCUGACGGAGCAACGCCGCGUGAGUGACGAAGGUUUUCGGAUCGUAAAACUCUGUUGUGAGGGAAGAACAAGUACCACUUAACUACUGGUACCUUGACGGUACCUCACCAGAAAGCCACGGCUAACUACGUGCCAGCCGCCGCAGUAACAC